UUUAGUUGUAAUCAGACUUGUCCUUUGUUGAUCAUGAGAAGGGGCCUCAGCCACGACGUCGACUCCUGCUCCUCCUCCGCCGCCCUUCUCCUUCUCCUCCAUCUCCUUCUCGCCACUCUCUUCUCGAUCUCCGGCGGAGCUGACACCUUAACCCCAGAUCUACCUCUUCUUGUCGAUGGAAGCACCACCUUGACCUCCGCCAGUGGCACUUUCCAGCUGGGAUUCUUCAACCCCAGCGGAUCCACAAACCGCUACAUCGGCAUAUGGUAUAACAGGAUCUCCCCCCAAACCGUCGUGUGGAUCGCCAAUCGCCGAAGCCCCAUAACCACCCGCUCCGGCAACCUCUCUUUGACCACCACCGGGACGCUCGUCCUCACCGACGGCAACUCCAGUAUCCUCUGGACUUCCGGCGCGCCGGAUUCAUCCCUAUCGAAUCCCGUCGCGCAACUCUUUGAUGACGGAAACUUCGCCGUCCAUGAAUCCGGCAGCGGUGGUUCUGACGGUUUCGCGUGGCAGAGCUUCGACUUCCCGACGGACACGCAGCUUCCGGGCAUGAUAUUGGGGCGAAGGAGGCUCAGAAACGGGACCGACCUUGACAUCAACAUCACGGCCUCGACGAGCGAUAGCGAUCCCACUCCGGGCCCAUUCGUCUACGGCCUCGAUUUGCGGGGAGACCCGCAGCUGUUCAUUUGGUCCGGGACGGAGCAGUACUGGCGCGCGGGGCCGUGGAAUGGCGGGUGGUUCAGCGGUGUCCCGGAGAUGGUGGACACAGCCAACGGACUCCUGAGGUUCGAUGUUAGACCCAAUCAGACGACCUACUUUCGCAGCGAUCAGUCUUCUGCUCUGUUGAGAUUUGUCAUUCAUUCUUCUGGCACUGUAGAGCUCAAUGUGUGGUUAGAAAGUCGGCAAUCUUGGAAUAGGAUUUGGUAUGCACCCAAGGAUCUAUGCGAUUCUUUGUCGUCCUGCGGCCCCAAUGGCUAUUGCCGCCAAAUCAUCACGCCACAAUGUGUGUGCUUGCAGGGGUUUCACCCGCGUAGUCCCACAAACUGGCGACUCCGAGAUGGGACGGGUGGUUGCCUGAGAACUACGCCGUUGGAUUGCCGUAAUGGAACCGACGGGUUCGUCAUCCUAAGAAACAUAAAACUACCAGAUACCUCGACGUCGAUGGUGAGCGCAAGCUUGAGCCUUGACCAGUGCAGGUCUUUGUGCUUGAAUAACUGCGAUUGCACAGCUUAUGCUGCCUCAAACAUCAGCGACGGUAGCAACGGUUGCAUAACGUGGACAACCAGUCUCACCGAUAUCACAGUGUAUCAAAGUAGCGUAGGACAAGAUCUUUAUGUCAGGCUCGCGGCAGCUGAUUUAGAGUCUGAGCCUUCAUCUGGUCGUCGUCAGAAUCAUUUUGUUGUUAUUAUUGUUACUCUUACUGUGUCGAUUGUUGUUCUCUCCUGUCUUGCUUUCUGUCUUUGGAGGAGGAUGAAGAAGAGAGGUGCUGAUAUUAUUGAAGCAACAGAAGAAAAUGACUUAGACCUUCCAUUAUUUGAUUUGGGCACAAUUAGAAACGCAACAUUCAAUUUCUCAUCACAGAACAAGCUUGGCGAGGGAGGUUUUGGCCCAGUAUACAGGGGUAAGAUAGGGGAAGAUCAAGAAAUAGCCGUGAAGAGGUUGUCUAAGACAUCAACUCAAGGUUUGAAUGAGUUCAAAAAUGAGGUGACAUUGAUUGCAAAACUGCAGCACAGAAACCUUGUUCGACUUCUUGGUUGUUGCGUUCAAGAAGAGGAGAGGAUAUUAGUCUAUGAAUACAUGCCUAAUGGAAGCUUAGAUAUCCUCUUAUUUGGAUAUUUGGAGGGGAUGAAUCAGAAGCAAAUACCAGAAGAGUUGUUGGAACAUAUGGAUAUAUGUCACCUGAGUAUAUCAUGGAUGGAAUCUUUUCAAUGAAAUCAGAUGUGUUUAGUUUUGGUGUGUUGGUACUAGAGAUUAUAAGUGGCAAAAAAAAUAGAGGAGUUUAUCAUGGGUCACACAAUUCGAAUCUUCUAGGACAUAUAUGGAACAUGUGGAAGGAAAGCCAAUGCAUGGAUUUUGUGGACAAAAACAUUGGGUAUUCUUUUUCAGAGAUUGAGGUCUUGAGGUGUAUAAAAAUUGGACUUUUGUGUGUUCAAGACCGGGCGGAAGACCGACCAACAAUGCCUUUAGUGUUGACAAUGUUGAGUAGCACCGGAGAUAUUGCUCUCUUACCGGAGCCUAAGCAACCGGGUUUCUUUUCUAAGCGAGACUUGAUGUCGGAAGUUUACUUGUCAUCAUCAAUGAGCAAUCAUCAAGACUCAUCUGCCAGCAACCAAAUAACAAUCACGAAUAUAGAAGGUAGAUAGGAGUCGGUCAUUUCUAAAUGUACUAGAAUGGAUAAUAAAAUAUAAUGUAUAAAUAAUAUAGGCAUUUUUGUAGUGGCAGUUCUAUGAUGUAAAUCUUUUGGUAUAAAUAGUAGUAAUUUUGUUUGGUAUAAA